rnacentral:misc_RNA from 1 species
GUGAAUCAUCAAAUUUUUGAACGCAAAUUGCACUCUCCUCGGAGAGUAUGCGUGUUUGAGGGUCAGCCUAUAAAAAUCGACAUAGUUGCUGGUUCGAGGAGGCGUUCGUCGGAAAUUGGGGCAUCUUAAAGCCUUGUGAUUUAAGCGACUUGGAAUUUGCUUUUGGUUCCAUGAACGUUUCUAAGGUCUAUUUCUUUACACGUUUAAGGUAUGGAUGUGGACUAGACGUGACAAGCAUAACGGAGCGCGGCCAUA